GCCAACCGGCUCGGUGUGUGACAGGUAAUCGUCUGGCAGGCUGGAACUUCCAGAGUCAUGUAGACCUGAAGCAGUGUGAUGUGGUCUAGAUCUGACACCCCUAUUAGCUCAACCACAGUCUUCACAGCUGCAGGCGUCUGCCCCUGCAUCUGCUACACCGGCCACGACGCGUGAUAGAGAGCUGCCAUGCACUUCACCUGCAUACCCACAUCCAUCGAAAAGGUGCUCCCAUGCCUUCCCCUAUCCUGGAAAUGUUUACACCUGUCACCU